rnacentral:lncRNA from 1 species
CGCUAAGAAGUACCCUGAGUUCUACAAGAGCAGAGGAAAUGUCUUCAGGGAAUAGCUAGUGCAAAGGUCUUGGACAGGAAAGUACCUAGCAGGUAGGCAGAAAAAGAGUCACUGUGGCAGCAAGAGAAGUAUGAGAUGAACAGACAUGAAGGCAGGGACCAGAAUAUGCCCAGCUUCACAGCCACAGCGUGGAGUUUGGAUUUUAUUCUAUGUGCAGGAACAGCUGCGAUGUGUCCUGAGUAGGCCUCCCCAGGAAGCAGACUCUGAGGUGGAGAUCAGCAGGCAGCUUCCCUGACUCAGCGGUUGUGCUGUGGAAGCCGGUGACUGGGAGCUCGGAGUGCACAGGCAGCUCUUCAAUUUCAAACCCGGCUCCUAACACUCUGGAAGGUGCUCGAUCUAAUCUCAACAGCGCCACCUCGUGUUUUUGAAAAGUCACAGUAGCCGUAGACACCUAGACUCUUGUUGCUUGAUUU